rnacentral:rRNA from 1 species
GACGAACGCUGGCGGCGCGCCUAACACAUGCAAGUCGAACGGAGUUAAUUUUGCGGAAGUUUUCGGAUGGAAGCGAGGUUAACUUAGUGGCGAACGGGUGAGUAACACGUGAGUAACCUGCCUCAGAGUGGGGGACAACAGUUGGAAACGACUGCUAAUACCGCAUAAGCGCACAGGGCCGCAUGGCCCGGUGUGAAAAACUCCGGUGGUAUAAGAUGGACCCGCGUCUGAUUAGCUGGUUGGUGGGGUAACGGCCCACCAAGGCGACGAUCAGUAGCCGGCCUGAGAGGGUGAACGGCCACAUUGGGACUGAGACACGGCCCAG